CAAGAAGUAGUUUAAUUAAAAUAUUAAUUUUGGGGAUUAAUGAUAAAGAAAUUUCUUUCUUCUUGA
rnacentral:tRNA from 1 species